CCCAUCGACUGCUCAUAUUUGGAAAAACUCGCACGUGGACACGCUCGCAAGUAGAGGUUCCACUGUACUCUGCAUAACAAGCGGCUUUCUAUAUAGUAGUAUGUCAUUGAUGUCAGCUAGGCCUGUAUACCUUGUACAUGUAUGUGUAGUAAAUAAAAACAUUAUUAUUAUUGACAUUAUUAUUAUUAUUGUUAUUAUUAUUAUUAUUAUAUUAUUUUCUCAGUUGUUUGUUGGGUUAUCUUAUUCAAACUUGCGCAAUGUAUGAUGGAAAGAUACUUCUUCACGUACACCAAAAAUGAAAGAAAUCAGACCAUAAAUAGCGGAGUUCACUUCUCAGCCAUUAGCGGCCUCUUAGCGGUAUAUUUUUGUAUGGCUGUUAUGGUUAUAUUCUCAUUUUUUCAGUCUCAUUUGAUAGAAUGAAAGAUAUAUUACAGAUAUAGAUAUGAUUUUGAUUGCUUUCAUGACGAAAAGUACCUUGAAAUUGCACUCACAGUAGCGAAAAUGUUCUACUCUUUAGCGAAGCUCAAGAGUAAACAAAUGACGUCACCGUCCAAUACUGUCCACCUGCCAGUCUAAAUUCCAGUACGAAGUCAAGAAUGGCUUGACAUUAUUUAUACAAUUAUUACAAUAAUGCAGCAGUCUGCAUAACAGUAAAUCUUCUAUUUUUUUGUGAAUAAAAAUUCCAAAUGAUCAAGAGCAAGAGCCCCUCACAAGCAUCAAGGAACCUCCCUUGAGGCCCGCUCACAUCUGGAAAUUUCACUCACAUCUGGAAGCAAAAAACUGACUGAGUGACUGCUCGUAUCUGGAAAAACUCGCACAUGGAUGCACUCGGUUCUACAUAACACCUGGCUCCCAUCUGCACAAGCAACACUGGGUCCCCGAGAGAUUCUGCACCGAUGAAGAUAUCUCCGGACCCAUCCAUGGACUGGAUGAGGGGAAGCUGAACAAAGCCACGAUAGUCUGGACCUUUG